CACAAUAUACAACUACCCACCCUUUUCCACUAAUCAACUUAAUGUUUGUUUACAAUAAUUAUUACAGACCAAGAACUAAAUAAAAAAUUACAUGAAUAGAACAUAAAUUAAUCUAUAGGGAGUCUGAAGCAGGCCCAAAACAAUCAUGGUGUACCAAGCCUUUACUGAUCUCAAACGCCCAAAGUUCCAUAGCCCAAUUCAUGUCUAGGUGUGUCAGAGUUCCCUAAGGACCUCAAGGGUCCCGGGAAAUGCUCACACCCAGACUUUUCUCAAACAAAGAUUGAUUAUGUGCAGUGUGAAAGUGUCAACCCUGAUAUGCUAGAGUUCAGAGAGAUCUCAAGGGUCUCAAAGCAGUACCCUUAUCAGAGAGGCAGAACUUAGCAAUCUAAGAGUAAUGUGAGGGUGCAUAAUGAUUAGAAAGAGUUUGGUAAAUGAUAUAAAGAAGGUCUUAGGAAUGAAAAAAAUUUUCUGAAAACCUGUACUGGUUUGAAUGGAAAACAGUUUGAGAAAACAUGAAGAACAUGAAGAACAUGUUGGGAUCAGAGAACAAGUCACAGAAUGCACAGUUUCAGAACAAACUUCACACAAGGGAAAGGGGUAGGGGGACACCUAGAAUGCACCUUAGUGAUGGCAAACAAAUACACAGAUUCCUCAAGAAGGCAAAUUAGUUACAAAGAUAUGUUGAGAACACACAGGUCUUAGAACAAACAGGAUCUCAUUGGUGAAGUAGAGCAAGUUAGCCUUAGAUGCACAAACUAGACAAACACUUCAUAAAGCAUUCAAGGUUUUAGAAAUACUAAUCAUAUACAAAACAAGCAGAAUCUAGACAUGCUGGGUGAGAUAGUAAACACACAAUGCAACUUAGACAUACUAGUGAACAAGUUAUCUAAAGCAGUACUGGCAUGCUAAACAACAUACUAGUUAUAGCUUUUAACAGAACAGAUUUAAACAUGUUGUGUGAUACAGUAAUCUAGGCAUGUUGACUGCAUAUUGAACAAAGUAGCAAAUAGAACUGGAAAUCACAACUAAUGAACCGCAGCAACCAAGAAACACAUAGUUUUGGAAUGUGAAUUGAAUCAGGACAUACCGGUUAAGGAGAAAAUACAGAGUAUAGAGCAGAGAUGGUGCAAGUAGCCAGCCUUGGCUUAUAGUCGGUUGGAUUAGUAAGAAUUACAAGUAAUAGAAGAGAAUAGAAAGCUUUUGAGAGUGUGAGAGUGUAGAUGAACUAUAUGUUCAUGUGUGUUGAAGUGGGGAGUAAAGGAGGGCAUAUAUAGCAGUUAAGAAUAAAGAAAAAUAAGGUAAAAGGAAUCAACCCUUCUGCAAUUAAGGAAGUCUUAGAAUCAAUUAUACAUCAGUUAGUAUAAUUUUCCCUUAAUUAAGGGUAAUCAACCAACGGAAAGGCAGAACAUAUUUAAGGAAAGAAAAUUAAACGAGCAAUUAGGGGUAAAUAGACAGCAUUUUAAUUAAGGAAAUGAUUAGUAAAGAAUCAAUAAAUCAUGGUUAAUUGAACAAGGUAAGAAAGCUGUCACACCCCUUUUUUACCCCUCCAAAAAGAUAUGUGUGUUAUGGAAUAUGGGUUAAAUGAUUUUUCCAAUUAAAGUGACAAAUGUGAGUAGAGAUUAUUUUAUUUACAAAGUCGCCACUUGAAAUUGAUUUUGGGUGUUCCAAGUCACCUUUUUAUUUGAAUCCCUAAUCAAAGGAAGGUUUCUCUAUUUUUAUCGGUCUGCGAAAAAAAGUUCGGGUAAUGAAUUAUAUUGACCGGGGAGAAGCUGUAAGGCAUUCCCCGAGUCCCAUGGUUCUAGCACAGUCGCUUUAUUAACUACAUUUGGCUUAAAUUAAUUUUGGAUAAAACUGUGAUUUAUUUGAUUUUUAUGCUUUUCUUAUGUCCAGUUUUAUUUAUAAAAAUAAAAUAAAAAAAUAAAAAUAUUUUUAUAAUAUUAAAUUGUCAAAAACGCGCCUACUAGUUGUCCUAUAUUUUAUGCUAGGAGAAUUAUGGAAUACUAUGAAAGCAUGAUCACAAAGGUCAUGGACAAGUUGCAAACAUGGAAAGGUAAACUUUUAUCUAUGGGAGGAAUGGCAGUUCUGAUUGCCAAUGUUCUGCAGAGCAUGCCUAUGCAUUUACUAUCUGCAGUCAACCCUCCAAAAUCUGUUAUAAAUAAGUUGCACAAAAUCUUUGCCCAGUUUUUUUGGAGCAGUUCAAUAGGGUAUAACAAUAGACAUUGUGCAUUAUGGAAUGCUUUGUGCAUGCAGUUGAAGAAGGGGGAAUUGGUUUCAGAUCAUUAUAUGAUGUGUCAAAGGCUCUGCUUUCUAAAUUAUGGUGGAAUUAUAGAACUAAACCAACUUUGUGGAGCUCAUUUAUGUGUCAAAAAUACUGCAAGAAGCUGAAUUCAGUUAUAGUACCAUGGAGAAGAGGAUCACAUAUUUGGAGAAAAAUGCUUGAAUGUAGGGAUUUGAUAGAAUAUCAAAUAGCUUGGCAGCCUAAGAUGAGUUCUUCUUUGUUUUGGUUCAACAACUGAACAAGACUAGGGGCUUUAUACUUCAUGGUUCCUCAUGACUUUAGGAUAGAUGAUUCAGUGCACAAUGUAUUUGAUGUGGUGGAACAAGGGACUUGGGAAGUGGACAGAUUACUGGAGCUAUUACCUGAAGAAUAUGCAAUGCAAAUCGUAGAUAAUAUCAAACCCCCUCAAUCGCAGAAUGAACUAGAUAAACCUUACUGGAAGCUAGAGACUAGGGGGUACUUCAGUGUCAAAACAUCAUGGGAAUAUAUUAGAAGAAAGAAUGAACCAAGGUUUUCAUACAGGAUGAUUUGGGUAAAGGGAUUGCCUUUCAAAAUAGCAUUUUUUAUGUGGAAGGUGUGGAAAGAAAAACUGCGAUUGGAUGAUUUCAUGAGAAGACAUGGAUAUUUGAUGGCCUCGAAGUGCUGGUGUUGUACAAAUCUAGAGGAAGAAACAUUAUGGCACCUUUUUUUAAAUCUACUGCAGCAACAUUUUUUUGGAGAUAUUUCUUAACAAGGGCUGGUAUUAGAAUGGAAGGUUUGUCUUUGCAUCAAGCUAUCACUAAGUGCUGGACAGUAAUGUAUGUCAUAGACCCAAGCCUAUUAUGCAAACGCUUCCCUCUUGCAUUGUUUGGGAGUUAUGGAAUAGGAGAAAUAACAUGAAAUAUGGGGAAGUUGUGUCAGUCAGUAGAGUGAUCUAUCAAGUUUCAACUACUCUUCAAUCCCUAGUGAGAGUAAGGAAGCCAGGAAUAGUCCAUGUUCCUCAUAAAUAGCAUGAGCUGUUAACUAUGAUGGAGAAUUAUACUCCUAGGUUGAAGGUGAAAAAAGUGAUAUGGACAUUCCCAGAAGAAGGAUGGCUUAAGGUGAAUACAGAUGGUGCAUCGAGGGGGAAUCCAGGAAGGAGUGCUAUUGGAUAUUGCAUAAGGGAUGAGAAGGGAGAUAUUGUCUAUACAGUAGGGAAGGAAAUCAAAGAAACCACCAACAUAGAGGCAGAAACAGUGGCUAUUGUAGAAGUACUGAGAUAUUGUAGAAUGUAACAGUAUUUACAAGUAAACAUCCAAACAGACUCAAUGCUAUUGAAGAAAGUUAUGGAGGGAGUAUAGAAACCACCUUGGUGCAUAACUGAGCAUGUGGAGGAGAUUAUAUAGUUGCUUAAUGGGGAAAAUUAUGUGGUAUCUUAUAUCUUUAGGCAAGGUAAUAAACUGGUAGACCAUCUUGCUAAUUAUGCCUUAGAUGCUGGGGACUUUGAAUGCCAAGAAUUUGGGCAAUUGGAUGUACAAGGGAGGAGAAUAGUGAAUGAAGAUAAGCUACAAUGUAUCAGUACAAGUAUAUAUUGAAGGGGACUCACAUAUGAGCACAAGUAUAGCAACAAGACUAGGAAGGGCCAGCUCUUAUGCGCAGAUUGAUCAAAUAAAUCACUGUGCAUACACCUGGAGUUGGCGAAGAUUUAUGGGUAAAGUAGCUGUAUUUUGGAACAAAAGCCAAACACAACUCUGCACUGCAACAGCCCAGGGAUCAAAUCAAGCAAAUGGUUAAGGCAAAAACACAGAGGUCAAUUUCGUAAUGAGCCUCAAUACAUCAUGGUUGUGCAGUCCUGGAAGUGACAAUUCACAUGGUAACCUGAGAGGUACUUAGCGGAGAAGUUGGAGACAUACUAGGGCAGUAAUUACACACAGUAUCAUAGAAGGCCACUAAAGGAAGGAAUUCAGAGAAGGAGAACAUCAAAAAACAUGAAGAGGACAUCCAAAACUGAGAACAAAAAGGAAGCAAGCGAGCAAUUAAUGACAUAGAUUGAUCAGUGGUACAUUUGCAGACGUUACAUGGAACAAGCUGUAGAUUUUUUGAAUAGUUGGGAAAAAAUAUUGAUACUAAAACAUCAAGGAAAGGAAAUUCUCAACUACAUCGUACAGACAGUGAUGCCAAUACACGAAGACAAGGGAGAUUUUAUGCACCAUUUAUUUAGUAUAGUUAGUAUUCAUUUUGUGAUAUCAUUGUUGAGACCACAACUCAACAUUGAUAAUAGAACGUAUGUAGCUUUCAAAUUUAUGCUUUUCUUUGUACUAGACCGCCUGACAAAACAUUUUGUUUAGUGGAUUUUAAAAAAAACUAGUUGCCUAGCGUUAAAAAAGAAUUAAGAAGUGCUUAAACUCCUUUUUUAUUACUUAUUCGACAAAAAUGAUAUUAUAAAAAUUAUUUUUUAACUAAUGCAAGACAUUAAAUCUAGGUAAGUUUAUGCUAAACUUUUAUGGUAUUGGGCCACUUAUUUUAUCUAACAAAAGACAAACUGUCGAUUUUAAAGAAAAGCUCAACUUACUUUCUAUUGUCAUUAUACCACAGAUUUUAGCUUAUUUGACCCAUGUUGCUUAAACUAAGUAAACUUGACAGAAUAAAAUUUCAAUCACAUACAUCAAGAAGAAAAGAUAAUUUAACUAAUUUCUAAAAGAUUUACCUGAUGAUAAUACUAAUAUAACAUUCAUCUUGAAAUAAAAUCAGAUCUAACAUGUUCCAUCAACCCAAACCAAAUCAAAUCCUUCUUAUUAUCAUCAAGAAUCUGCAAUAUAAGAAUUUGAAAGUUACCUGGUUUGUAGAAUAGUAAUAUACAGCAGUGCAGCAACAAAAAUAUAGCAACAAAUACAGCAGAAACAAUAGAAACUCAAGUGUUAAGACAACCCGAAAACCUUACAGAAAGACCCAGAACCAACUCUAAAGAAGAUUUAUAAUUUUCUAAAAGUUUGCGCUCUAAGAUUCACUCACAAAGCUUACAAUUUUAGCUUGCUAUCUUUAUGUUCAGUUGCUAAUUUUUCUCUCAAAGUUUUUUUGUCUGUCUAGAUCUCUUGUCUGUAUUAGAGUAAAAAAAUGUGUCUCCUUUAUAUAUCAAAACAACCAACUAUUUCAAAAAUUAAAAAUCAAUCUUUUUGACAGAUUUUUCUACAAAAUCUGCUCUUAAAUUCAAAAAGAAAGACUUUCUAGUUCAAAUCUUGUCAAGUAUUUCAAACAAAAUCUGCUCUUCACUAUUCAAAGACACACUUUUAGUCAAACACUGUCCAAAAGUCUAUUUUCUUACCAAACAAUUUGACUUUUGAUUGUUGUACUCAAAGAGUCUUGAAGCAGUAAAUAAACAACCAAACAAGUACCAUAUACUCUUAAGUAUUCUUCACUACCUCACUUUUAUCAAUACAAAACUAUUUUACUACUUCAACAAGUGCAAAAACAGAAAAUUUAACAUUUCAAACUUCAAAAACUAAUGCUAAAAUAAUUAAUAAUAGACAAAAUAAAAUCUGAAAAAUAAAAAAUCAGCCACGAAAAAGAAUAGGAUUUUUACCAUUUUAGAAUUCAAGUGGUCGAAAAAAUGGUAGUAUGCCAAAAGAGGGUGUUCGUGGAGGUCGCCGAAAUUUGGUAGCCAAAUUUUGGGGUAGAAUUGACAUCAAUAGGUAGGUCUUGAGGAGCUCUAUCCAUUGAUGUAGGUAUUGUGGGGUGGUAGUGGUUAGAGCUUCAAGAAUUUGGGCAAAAAAGUGACGGAUAAAAUUUCAUAGAUCUAAGAUUCAAGGAGUUUGAGGGGUUUUUGAAGGAUUUGGUUUGGAGAUAUGAAAAGAGGAGGUUGUGGAGAUUACAUGGCGUGAAUUUGGAGGUGGUCCGCCGUCGGUGGGUGAUUUUCGGCGACGGCGUAGAGGUGGCAAAGAGAGAGUGAAGGGAGAGAGAAGAGAGAGGAAGGAGAAAAGAAUUAUGGGU
rnacentral:lncRNA from 1 species